ACGGAAGGCAGCAGUGAGGAAUAUUGGUCAAUGGCCGGAAGGCUGAACUAGCCAUGCCGCGUGAAGGAUUAAGGUCCUAUGGAUUGUAAACUUCUUUUAUGCGGGAAUAAAAAGGAUUACGUGUAGUCUGUUGCAUGUACCGCAUGAAUAAGGAUCGGCUAAUUCCGUGCCAGCAGCCGCGGUAAUACGGAAGAUCCGAGCGUUAUCCGGAUUUAUUGGGUUUAAAGGGAGCGUAGGCGGGCCUUUAAGUCAGUGGUCAAAGCGUGUGGCUCAACCAUACCACGCCGUUGAUACUGGAGGCCUUGAGUGCACAUAAGGAUGGUGGAAUUCAUGGUGUAGCGGUGAAAUGCUUAGAUAUCAUGAAGAACUCCGAUUGCGAAGGCAGCUGUCCGGGGUGUAACUGACGCUAAUGCUCGAAAGUGCGGGUAUCAAACAGGAUUAGAUACCCUGGUA
rnacentral:rRNA from 1 species